GACGAACGCUGGCGGCGUGCUUAACACAUGCAAGUCGAGCGGUAAGGCCCUUUCGGGGGGUACACGAGCGGCGAACGGGUGAAGUAACACGUGGGUGACCUGCCCUCAGCUCUCGGGAUAAGCCGUAGGGAAACCGGGUCUAAUACCGGAUAUCGACUCCAUGACGCAUGUUGUGGGGUGGAAAGCCUUGUGCGGCUGAGGAUGGGCCCGCGGCCUAUCAGCUUGUUGGUGGGGUGAUGGCCUACCAAGGCGACGACGGGUAGCCGGCCUGAGAGGGCGACCGGCCACACUGGGACUGAGACACGGCCCAGACUCCUACGGGAGGCAGCAGUGGGGAA
rnacentral:rRNA from 1 species